rnacentral:rRNA from 1 species
GAUGAACGCUGGCGGCAUGCCUAAGACAUGCAAGUCGAACGAGACGGCCCAAUGAAGAUUGAGUGCUUGCACGAUGUCGGACUUGGAUCCCCGUCUAGUGGCGCAAGGGUGAGUAACACGUGGGUAAUCUACCUUCGAGUCUGGAAUAACAGUUAGAAAUGAUUGCUAAUGCCGGAUUAUAUAUAAGAGAUACACUUUUAUAUUAAAAGGAGCCUUUAAAGCUUCGCUUGAAGAUGAGCCUGCGCCGUAUUAGCUAGUUGGUGGGGUAAUGGCCUACCAAGGCAACGAUGGCAGUAGCCGACCUGAGAGGGUGAUCGGCCACACUGGGACUGAGACACGGCCCAGACUCCUACGGGAGGCAGCAGUGAGGAAUAUUGGUCAAUGGUCUGACGACUGAACCAGCCAUGCCGCGUGAAGGUCACGGGCCCUAUGGGUCUUAAACUUCUUUUGUAAGGGAGCAAUAAGUCUCACGUGUGGG